UUCAUAGGAUCACCCAUUUUAUUCAAUAAUAUUGAAAUAUUCGAUGUGACAAGCCGUUAUGGUUUAAGUGCAGUGAGUCCUAUUGAUGUGUUUUCUUUUAAGCAACUAAAGACAUUGACAGUGAAGUGCUGGUAUAAAGAACCGGAAAUUUGGUUGGAUUUCGUAUUAGAACAUCCAACAAUAGAACGACUUGAAAUUGGUAUUUUAAACGGCUUUACAUUUUAUGAUCCAUCAGAUCCAGGCAACACGUUGAAGCUACUGAAAUUUUUAGCAGCCCAAAAUUGGUUCAAUAAGGUUACUGUAAUGUUUAGACUUCCAAGAAGGAGAGGAAAUUAUAAGAUAUUCGAUGAGUUAUCCGCAAUGGAAGUUUUCACAACGAAAAUUUCGCAAAUUUGUGAAAAAACAUCGAAAUUAAAAUCAUUUAUGAAAAUCUAUAAAAUAAAAAAGAACAUUCUAUCAGAUACACCUUAUGUUGAUUUUGAGAAAUGUGAACAAUAAAAAUAAAAUGUACUAAAUGAAAAAUACGAGUGCUUUCUUGCCCCGUAACUGAUGAGAGAUACCAAAAUGGUAUCUUCGAGAAUAUUGUAGUACUUGACCUGCCCUAAAGUACUUGCUAAAGAUAGAUCAAAGGGAUAUUGUAACUUUUCUGACCAGAAAAAACGCCAUCUAACGUCGUGCCCGUAAAUUAUUUUACUAUACAUUUAGGUGGUAGAGCUUGAACAAAAGUUCGACACUAUGCAUAAACUUGGAAAGAGCUUGAUAAACUUGAUGAAAUACAUAUAUUUAAUGGUCGUUGCUAUACCCCUAUG